UUUCCGUAGGUGAACCUGCGGAAGGAUCAUUACUGAGUGAGGGCCCCUCGGGGUCCAACCUCCCACCCGUGUUUAACGAACCUUGUUGCUUCGGCGGGCCCGCCUCACGGCCGCCGGGGGGCAUCUGCCCCCGGGCCCGCGCCCGCCGAAGCCACCUGUGAACGCUGUCUGAAGUAUGCAGUCUGAGACAAUUAUUAAAUUGAUUAAAACUUUCAACAACGGAUCUCUUGGUUCCG
rnacentral:misc_RNA from 1 species